GAUGAACGCUGGCGGCGUGCCUAAUACAUGCAAGUCGAGCGAACAGACGAGAGUGCUUGCCCUCUCUGACGUUAGCGGCGGACGGGUGAGUAACACGUGUGUAACCUACCUAUAAGACUGGGAUAACUUCGGGAAACCGGAGCUAAUACCGGAUAAUAUUUAGCUUCGCAUGAAGCAAUAGUGAAAGACGGUUCUGCUGUCACUUAUAGAUGGACCCGCGGUGUAUUAGCUAGUUGGUGAGGUAACGGCUCACCAAGGCAACGAUACAUAGCCGACCUGAGAGGGUGAUCGGCCACACUGGGACUGAGACACGGCCCAGACUCCUACGGGAGGCAGCAGUAGGGAAUCUUCCGCAAUGGACGAAAGUCUGACGGAGCAAUGCCGCGUGAGUGAAGAAGGUUUUCGGAUCGUAAAACUCUGUUGUAAGGGAAGAACAAGUACGUUAGUAACUGAACGUAUCUUGACGGUACCUUACCAGAAAGCCACGGCUAACUACGUG
rnacentral:rRNA from 1 species